GCCCACUGAUAGUAUUAAAGGGCCGCAGUAUUUUGACUGUGCGAAGGUAGCAUAAUCAAUAGUCUUUUAAUUGGAGGCUUGUAUGAAUGGUUGAAUGAGAUAUAUACUGUCUUUUUUAAAUUUUUAUAGAAUUUUAUUUUUUAAUUAAAAAGUUAAAAUGUAGUUAAAGGACGAGAAGACCCUAUAGAUCUUUAUUUUUUUUAAUUAUAAAUUAAAAAGAAUAAUUAAAUUUAUAAUUUAAUAAAAAAUUUUGCUGGGGUGGUAUUAAAAUUUAAAUAACUUUUAUAAUUUAUUUACAUUAAUAUAUGAAUAAUUGAUCCAGUUUUAUUGAUUAAAAAAUUAAGUUACCUUAGGGAUAACAGCGUAAUUUUUUUUUAGAGUUCAUAUCGACAAAAAAGAUUGCGACCUCGAUGUUGGAUUAAGAGUUAUUUUUAGGUGUAGAAGUUUAAAGUUUAGGUCUGUUCGACCUUUGAAUUCUUACAUGAUCUGAGUUCAAACCGGCGUGAGCCAGGUUGGUUUCUAUCCUUAAUAAAAUUAUUAUAUUAUAGUACGAAAGGACCUAGUAUAAAAAAUAUAGAUUUUAAAGUUAUGAAUAAUAUUAAUAUUUAAUAAACUAUUUUGGCAGAUUAGUGCAAUAAAUUUAGAAUUUAUUUAUAUAAUUUAAUUAAUUAUAAAUAGUAUUGUUUUUUAUAGAUUAUUUAUUAUCAUUAAUUGGAAGUUUAUUAUUAGUUAUUUGUGUAAUAGUUGGGGUUGCUUUUUUAACUUUAUUAGAGCGUAAGGUUUUAGGCUAUAUUCAAAUUCGU
rnacentral:rRNA from 1 species